rnacentral:misc_RNA from 1 species
GCAAACUUGGUCAUUUAGAGGAAGUAAAAGUCGUAACAAGGUUUCCGUAGGUGAACCUGCGGAAGGAUCAUUAUUGAAUAAACUUAGUGGGUUGUCGCUGGCUCCUCGGAGCAUGUGCACGCCUGCUGACUUUAUCCAUCCACCUGUGCACCUUCUGUAGUCUCAGAAAACAAGAGUGGCUUAAGCCUCGACUGGUCUCUGACCUGUUGGAUUUGGGCAAUGCUGCGUGUCAAGCGUGGCCUCUCCCUAACAAGUUGCAAUUGUUUCCGGACUAUGAUUUUUCAUAUACCAAUGUAGUAUGUUGCAGAAUGUAUCAAUGGGCCUAUGUGCCUAUAAAACUCAAUACAACUUUCAGCAACGGAUCUCUUGGCUCUCGCAUCGAUGAAGAACGCAGC